rnacentral:lncRNA from 1 species
UCAGCAAUGAGCAUAAAAUUGCAUCAUAUCAAAAUCAUUUUGUGAAUGCUAUACAACCACUUCUCAUAUCCAAUUCAAUGUAUACACCAGAAUCAAUACCAUUAACAAAAUCAUACACGUAUAUAAAAUGCUCGUUUACAUUUGAGAUAUCAAAUUCUAUAUGAAAUGUACAGUUUCACCGUAAUUUUAUACAUAGACACUUCAUAGUAAUCUUGAAUAUUCAUUGGCACUGAACAUGUGAAAAGGGAAAAUCAAAAUCACAACAAUAAACAACAAUUAACAAAGAGAUUUGUAUUAGUCUCUUAGUUUUUCAAGCUCAACGCAACUUCCAUUUUUGAGUACAUUUCGAUGUUCAAAUUCACUUACAAGUAUCCUGCUGCAUCAACCAUUAUAUAUCUUCCUGAAAAGAUAGUGAAGGAUAUCAUUAUUAUUGGUUUUUAUCAACUAAGUAUAUAUUAUCGAAUUCAAAACGGGGAGACCAAAUACAUAUAUGUUAAUUGCCUUUGAUCACAUCAAAGCAAAGCAAACAGAUAAUAUAAGUGAUAAGCAUCAUACCUUGAUGUUUUCAAACAGAGAAUACCCAACUGCGAUGACCAGCUACAGCAAGUCCGAAACAUUUGGAUUACUUAUUAUUCAUUAUUAGGAUCUAUAACCUUUGACGAAAAGAAGAAGAGCAAGGUUUUGACAGAAAACCUUGUUUGGUUUGUAGAAUAACAACCUUAACACACCUCAAGAUAGACCCAAAGCUGCAACGAAAAUUGCAGUCAUAACACACCUCAAAAAACCAAAGCCGAAACACUCUUCUAGGGUAAGCAAAGAAAAACAUACUACAAACAAACUUAAUCACUAACCAUAAAACAUCCCAGCAGCUAUCGAGAUCUUGAAUAGGGUAGGAAAUCUAUAUUUAGCAAAGAUGCUACAGCACAACAGCUAUCUCCAGUCGCCUCAUUUUCUUUUUAGAUUUCAUGAUGAAUAUAUUUUGUGUCAUGGCUUUGUGUAACUGUAGCUUAGGAGAUUGGCCUCAACAUAUGCUUCCACAUUUCAUUCCAUCUCUUAAACAACUUACCAUAAUGCAUUUUCAAUACAUGAGGCUGCCAUUUUUUCCCUCUGAAAUUACUCUUGGAUGGAAAAUUGACACCCUAUUAAAGAGUUAUAAGUAGGAUUAUCUUUUGUCCCCUUACAUUGUUUUACAGAUUAAUUUUUAUCAAUCAGCAAACACACACUUUAUAAAAUUGAUAGACAACAGAAAAUUAUCAAAGUUAGAGAUGUCAUUUUAAAAAGCAAGAUAUCAAAACCAUAGAUUAUAAAAGUUGUUGAUCUGCAUAAAAAUUCAAAUUAAAGUGGAAGGAGGGAACCUAAAAACCACAUAUUGAAUGCAAGAACAAAAUAGAUCUGCAUCAUUCAUCAUCUAAUGCAAUAAGUACGUAUUUAUAUCAAUAUGAAUCCAUGUCAGAAGAAAAAAUAGUUAAACUAUAGUCUAUAAACAUUAAAAUACAUGCUGAUUUUCGUUAUGUUAAAACACUAAAUAGAAAGUAUUAGCGACACAAAUCAUUAUAAACAUCAAAAUACAUUCUGAUUUUCUUUAUCAAAAUUUAUAUUACAGAAUGUUAUUUGAGAAUGUGGCUUUUAUAAUAAAGGAUGUUAUUUGAGAAUUUAUAAUAAAGGAUGUUAUUUGAGAAUUCAUAUAUUUCAGAACAUCCCCGAGAUAUAUGACUAGUAGUAUACCAUAUCAUUCCACUUUUUUUUAAGUGAGGAGUUCGGGGUUCAAACUCCAGCCCAAGUAAAUGGAGAUGAUCCUUUCCCCUUCAGGAUAUGUUUGGAUCGGUAUUGUGCAAUGAAAUAAAGUGGAAUGAUAUGGUAUACUAUUAUCUUUUUAUUCAUUUCAAUCAUUACCAUGGUUCAAUUUUCAGAAACAACAUAUAUGUAAUUGUCAAACACUACCA